GGUUAAGUGACUAAGCGUACACGGUGGAUGCCUUGGCAGUCAGAGGCGAUGAAGGACGUAUUAACUUGCGAUAAGCCCAGAUUAGGUAGUAAAAACCAUUUGAGUCUGGGAUUUCCGAAUGGGGAAACCCAAUACCAUAAGGUAUUACUGUUGAGUGAAUACAUAGCUCAACAGGGCGAACCGGGGGAACUGAAACAUCUAAGUACCCCGAGGAAAAGAAAUCAACCGAGAUUCCGAAAGUAGCGGCGAGCGAAAUUGGACUAGCCCUUAAGCUUUACACGCGUUAGACGAACAGCCUGGAAAGGCUGACGAUACAGGGUGAUAGUCCCGUAGUUGACGACGUGUGUUCAGUGAAAUCGAGUAGGGCGGGACACGUGAUAUCCUGUCUGAAUAUGGGGGGACCAUCCUCCAAGGCUAAAUACUACUGACUGACCGAUAGUGAACCAGUACCGUGAGGGAAAGGCGAAAAGAACCCCUGUGAGGGGAGUGAAAUAGAACCUGAAACCGUGUACGUACAAGCAGUAGGAGCAGGCUUGUCCUGUGACUGCGUACCUUUUGUAUAAUGGGUCAGCGACUUAUAUUCAGUGGCAAGGUUAACCAUCUAGGGGAGCCGUAGGGAAACCGAGUCUUAACUGGGCGUUCAGUCUCUGGAUAUAGACCCGAAACCAGGUGAUCUAGCCAUGGGCAGGUUGAAGGUUGAGUAACAUCAACUGGAGGACCGAACCGACUAAUGUUGAAAAAUUAGCGGAUGACUUGUGGCUAGGGGUGAAAGGCCAAUCAAACCUGGAGAUAGCUGGUUCUCCCCGAAAGCUAUUUAGGUAGCGCCUCGGACGAAUACUACUGGGGGUAGAGCACUGUUAAGGCUAGGGGGUCAUCCCGACUUACCAACCCUUUGCAAACUCCGAAUACCAGUAAGUACUAUCCGGGAGACACACGGCGGGUGCUAACGUCCGUCGUGGAGAGGGAAACAACCCAGACCGCCAGCUAAGGUCCCAAAUUACUACUAAGUGGGAAACGAUGUGGGAAGGCUCAGACAGCCAGGAUGUUGGCUUAGAAGCAGCCAUCAUUUAAAGAAAGCGUAAUAGCUCACUGGUCGAGUCGGCCUGCGCGGAAGAUGUAACGGGGCUAAGUAGUAAACCGAAGCUGCGGCAAUACUCUUUGAGUAUUGGGUAGGGGAGCGUUCUGUAAGCGGUUGAAGGUGUGUGGUAACGCAUGCUGGACGUAUCAGAAGUGCGAAUGCUGACAUGAGUAACGAUAAAGGGGGUGAAAAACCUCCUCGCCGGAAGACCAAGGGUUCCUGUCCAACGUUAAUCGGGGCAGGGUAAGUCGACCCCUAAGGCGAGGCCGAAAGGCGUAGUCGAUGGGAAACGGGUUAAUAUUCCCGUACUUCUUACAAUUGCGAUGGGGGGACGGAGAAGGCUAGGUGGGCCUGGCGACGGUUGUCCAGGUUCAAGUGCGUAGGCUGAGAAAUUAGGUAAAUCCGGUUUCUCUUAAGGCUGAGACACGACGUCGAGCAUCUACGGAUGUGAAGUCAUUGAUGCCAUGCUUCCAGGAAAAGCCUCUAAGCUUCAGAUUGUAAGGAAUCGUACCCCAAACCGACACAGGUGGUCGGGUAGAGAAUACCAAGGCGCUUGAGAGAACUCGGGUGAAGGAACUAGGCAAAAUGGUACCGUAACUUCGGGAGAAGGUACGCUCUCGACGGUGAAGUCCCUUGCGGAUGGAGCUAUUGAGAGUCGCAGAUACCAGGUGGCUGCAACUGUUUAUUAAAAACACAGCACUGUGCAAAAUCGCAAGAUGACGUAUACGGUGUGACGCCUGCCCGGUGCCGGAAGGUUAAUUGAUGGGGUUAGACUUCGGUCGAAGCUCUUGAUCGAAGCCCCGGUAAACGGCGGCCGUAACUAUAACGGUCCUAAGGUAGCGAAAUUCCUUGUCGGGUAAGUUCCGACCUGCACGAAUGGCGUAAUGAUGGCCACGCUGUCUCCACCCGAGACUCAGUGAAAUUGAAAUCGCUGUGAAGAUGCAGUGUACCCGCGGCUAGACGGAAAGACCCCGUGAACCUUUACUACAGCUUGGCACUGAACAUUGACCCUACAUGUGUAGGAUAGGUGGGAGGCUUUGAAGCGCAGUCGCUAGAUUGCGUGGAGCCGUCCUUGAAAUACCACCCUUGUAGUGUUGAUGUUCUAACGUCGACCCCU
rnacentral:rRNA from 1 species